rnacentral:lncRNA from 1 species
CACAACCACAGGACUUGACAUAGACGCCCAAACAGGCCACCAUCUGCUUCCUAUCCAACCACAUCCCGGCAAACGCGAUGCCCUCCAACUCUGGGAGCGUCUUCUUUAUUUACUACCCUUCUGCAAACCGUGCUAUUUACUACUGCCGUUCUGUGCUGCUUCUGCUCUAUAAAUCCACACUUGUCCUCUUGCUCAUACUGUACAUGACUCUGAACCUCCUUCAGACAUUAUCCACCAUCUUGGGAGCAAAUUUCUUCACAGCAUCGCCGACCGUGAGGUGUAUCUUGUCUUCACCAAUCAUGUCCGUGAAACUUCGCCGAGCGGAGCUUCUGGAUCACCGCUGGCCCGGGAUUGGCAAGAACCAGCUGUAAUGUAAGUAACAGGAACGGAUUCUGAUCUUAGUGGUGGGUUUCUUCAGCGACAAUCUCUAUGUUAGCGGGGUAUCGCUACUACCAGACUGCUAGUAGUGUAGAUGCUUGUUACGAGGUCUGGCUUCUCACCUGAAUUUUGCGUUUCUCAAGCGCUUUCAGCAACUCCUCCAAGGCGUGGAUUCCGCUUGUGUCGAUAUCAAUUACAGCUGUUCAGAGUUAGAGCAAUGUUUUCAAUCACUAUACGGAACUUGAGUAGAAAGUUUUUUUUUGUCAUAGUCAAGACAUGUUUCUUACGAGAUAGAUCAGCGAUCAGAAACUCAGUUUUUGGUAACUUCUGGUCAUGUUGUUGGCUCCUCUUCCUCGUCUCUGGAGCCCACCUCAGGAUUCUGAAAAUCAGAUUCUAGUUAAGCACUGCAAACCUUAUAGUACUAAUCACUUCAGUGACAGAGGCUCAUGCUGAGUACAAGCAUUCCUACCUCUCUUUAAUUAUAGUUGGAGUUUGUGAAGUAGAUAGCUGAAUCCACUCUGAUAAUUACCACCCCUGGAACCUUGGUAGCAUCAGGAUACUGUUCGGACGUUCCUGUAUAUAGUCGUUCGUGGAAGGUUUCCAAGUAAAACUGUUCUUGGCCGUGUUACUUGGAGAAGAAUUUUAGCAAGAGAUAUCGCAACCUAUUCAAAAAAAAAAGGUUUUACAGUCAUCAGGUUUUUGUCUAGGAAUUACAGGAACUCAACUGUUAGUAGCAUAAACGAAAUACUAGUUGUGAUUCACACCACCGCAAUGAGGCAAGCCAUACUCCACUGAUGAAAAUAUGACUCCAAAGGAAUGCCCCAUGCAUGCUAGGAAGUCAGGUUUGUCGACUUUCCAGAUAAGGUAAGCUGACUCAUAGUCAUCAAACCAAGCACUGCUGAUAUUAUGAUUGAGGAGAGGAUGGCAUUUGGAGUGUACUUGAACGUGGGGUGAUCAGCAGCAGCGUAAGCAUCACGACAGUGGACAUGACAACAUUUGACACCGCUGUUUUGCAGCCAGCCAUGUAAUUGACUGCUGACCGCGAGAAAGAACCUACAAUGAACGACUCCUGUCAGAAUUAACUGUUACUUUGGCUAUGAUUUGAUUUUUCUUCUUCUUUUCUGAAUUUUUGUUACCUGUGGCUACGUAGCAAGAAGUCAUUGAACCAACAAUGUUCAUGGUCCCUAGAGCCACCAUUUCUUUGUUCCCAUCUAUCUGGUAAUCCUUGAGGCCAGCAAACGUUCUUCCAAUUGCAAUUGCUUCCUGAUAAUUUUGCAUCAGUUUACCAAUUAGCACUUUUUUUGUCACAGAAACGUUCUCCACGUUAUCAUAAUUUUGACAAUCAAAGCUUAGGAGGUCUGUUUUCUCAUCAAAGGGUUUGUCUCACCGUUAGCCCUAUCAUUCCAGCCACUACCCCAAUUUUGAAUCCUGUCGCCAAGUAUGGGCCAGUGAAGUAUAUGAGACUAGCUGAAGCUGGGUUGAUGCCUUUCCUUAUGUUCUUGACCUGCAGUUUUGCAGCAGUGAUCUUUAUUGUUAGCUUCAACUAAUAAGAGUCACUUGCAAAACCCUAUUUUUUACGAUGGCUAACAUAAAAAACAGGCAAGUAUGACUUACGAUUGCAACACCAUGCUUAUCUGCACGAGUGAUGUACACAAAAAAGUGGAUAUGAUCACCGAAGUGAGAGGUGCGAUUGCAGAAACCCAGAAGAGCUUUUAUUCCUUUUCCCCUGAAUUAUUUAAAAGCAACGACAGUAUGAUCACAUACAGUCAAUUGAAAGCCAAGAUGAGAUCUUGCCAUCUUGGAGCAUGUAAUGUGUAUUGUCUUACAAUGUACUUGGCAACCAGAAGGAAUGCCAGGAAGGACGCUCCUAUCAGUAUUGUCUGCCAAUUCCACUGCAAUAAAUAGCACGCACAUACAUUGUGUUUAACACUAAAGUCUCAAAAAAUUGUGGUUCUCAUCAGGCAGGUAAAAGGAUCCACACGGUACAGGUACAGUCAGUGUCUUACCCCAUGGUGAACGUUUCCCCAAACUGAUUUCAUCACAGAUACAAUAUCAGAUUUCUUGGUGAAGUCUGCAAUUCCAAGGAACCCUUUCAGCUGCUGAAGAGCGAUGGUGAUGGCAGCACCAGCCAUGAAUCCGACAAUGGCAGCAUGAGACAGGAACUCUAUGAUAAACCCNNNNNNNNNNNNNNNNNNNNNNNNNNNNNNNNNNNNNNNNNNNNNNNNNNNNNNNNNNNNNNNNNNNNNNNNNNNNNNNNNNNNNNNNNNNNNNNNNNNNAGUUCCACGUCCUAACCAAAAUGUUGUAGGAACCAAAUGGGUCUUCCGCAACAAGCAAGAUGAGCAUGGUGUGGUGACAAGGAACAAAGCUCGAUGUGGCCAAAGGAUACUCCCAAGUUGAAGGCUUGGAUUUCGGUGAAACCUAUGCACCUGUAGCUAGGCUUGAGUCAAUUCGCAUAUUAUUAGCCUAUGCUACUUACCAUGGCUUUAAGCUUUAUCAAAUGGACGUGAAAAGUGCCUUCCUCAAUGGACCAAUCAAGGAAGAGGUCUAUGUUGAGCAACCUCCCGGCUUUGAAGACAGUGAGUAUCCUAACCAUGUUUAUAGGCUCUCUAAGGCGCUUUAUGGGCUCAAGCAAGCCCCAAGAGCAUGGUAUGAAUGCCUAAGAGAUUUCCUUAUUGCUAAUGGCUUCAAAGUCGGCAAGGCCGAUCCUACACUCUUUACUAAAACUCUUGAAAAUGACUUGUUUGUAUGCCAAAUUUAUGUUGAUGAUAUUAUAUUUGGGUCUACUAACGAGUCUACAUGUGAAGAGUUUAGUAGGAUCAUGACACAAAAUUCGAGAUGUCGAUGAUGGGGAGUUGAAGUAUUUUCUAGGAUUCCAAGUCAAGCAACUCCAAGAGGGCACCUUCAUUAGCCAAACGAAGUACACUCAAGACAUUCUAACCAAGUUUGGAAUGAAGGAUGCCAAGCCCAUCAAGACCCCAUGGGAACCAAUGGGCAUCUCGACCUCGACACGGGAGGUAAGUCCGUGGAUCAAAAGGUAUACCGGUCAAUGAUUGGUUCAUUGCUUUAUUUAUGUGCAUCUCGACCGGACAUUAUGCUUUCCGUUUGCAUGUGUGCAAGAUUCCAAUCCGACCCUAAGGAAUCCCACCUUACGGCCGUAAAACGAAUCUUGAGAUAUUUGGCUUAUACACCUAAGUUUGGGCUUUGGUACCCUCGGGAUCCACGUUUGAUUUGAUUGGUUAUUCGGAUGCCGAUUGGGCGGGGUGCAAAAUUAAUAGGAAGAGCACAUCGGGGACUUGCCAGUUCUUGGGAAGAUCCUUGGUGUCUUGGGCUUCAAAGAAGCAAAAUUCGGUCGCUCUUUCCACCGCCGAAGCCGAGUACAUUGCCGCAGGUCAUUGUUGCGCACAAUUGCUUUGGAUGAGGCAAACCCUGCGGGACUACGGUUACAAAUUAACCAAAGUCCCUUUGCUAUGUGAUAAUGAGAGUGCAAUCAAAAUGGCCGACAAUCCCGUCGAGCAUAGCCGCACUAAGCACAUAGCCAUUCGGUAUCAUUUUCUUAGGGAUCACCAACAAAAUGGGAUAUCGAGAUUUCUUACAUUAACACUAAAGAUCAGUUAGCCGAUAUCUUUACCAAGCCUCUUGAUGAACAGACCUUUACCAAACUUAGGCAUGAGCUCAAUAUUCUUGAUUCUCGCAACUUCUUUUGCUAGAUUGCACACAUAGCUCAUUUACACUUUUGAUCAUAUAUGCUAUGACUAAUGUGUUUUCAAGUCUAUUUCAAACCAAGUCAUAGGUAUAUUGAAAGGGAAUUGGAGUCUUCGGCGAAAGACAAAGGCUUCCACUCCGUAACUCAUCCUUCGCCCUCGCUCCAAUAAACGGACCUUGUCUUUGGGGAGAGAUUAAAAGCCCAAAGCAAAAGGACCGAACUUCGUCUUUGGUAUAAUCUUAACUCAUUUACUUAUGACCAAAGGGAAGAUUGUACUUCUAGGGCUCUAAUGAUUCAGUUUUUGGCGAUUCAUGCCAAAGGGGGAGAAAGUAUGAGCCCAAAGCAAAAGGACCGCACCACCACAAAUUUCAAAAAUUUAGUGCUUUCCAAGAGUAUUUUUCAAUUAGUAUACUAUUGUGUUCAAAAGGAGGAGAAAGUUAGUUUUUCAAAAAUAAAUAUCAAAACCCUCUUGAACACUAAGAGGAGGAUCUCCUUUAGGGGAGUUUUGUUAAGUCAAAGGAAGAGCAUUUGAAACAGGGGGAGAAAAUUUCAAAUCUUAAAAAAUGCUCUGCAAACUCUUAUUCUUACCUUUGACUAUUUGCAAAAGAUCUUUGAAAUGGAUUUACAAAAGGAAUUUGCAAAACAAAACAUGUGGUGCAAACGUGGUCCAAAAUGUUAUAUAAGAAAGAAACAUUCCAUGCAUAUCUUGUAAGUAGUUAUAUUGGCUCAAUUCCAAGCAACCUUUACACUUACAUUAUGCAAACUAGUUCGAUUAUGCACUUCUAUAUUUGCUUUGGUUUGUGUUGGCAUCAAUCACCAAAAAGGGGAGAUUGAAAGGGAAUUAGGCUUACACCUAGUUCCUAAAUAAUUUUGGUGGUUGAAUUGCCCAACACAAAAUCUUUGGACUAACUAGUUUGCCCAAGUGUGUAGAUUAUACAGGUGUAAAAGGUUCACACUCAGCCAAUAAAAAGACCAAGUUUUGGAUUCAACAAAGGAGCAAAGGGGCAACCGAAGGCACCCCUGGUCUGGCGCACCGGACUGUCCGGUGCGCCACCGGACAUGUCCGGUGCACCAGGGGACUCAGACUCAAACUCGCCACCUUCGGGAAUUUCCGGGCGACUCGGCUAUAAUUCACCGGACUGUCCGGUGUACACCGGACAGUGUCCGGUGCGCCAAGUGAGGUCGGCCUCAGGAACUCGCCAGCUUCGGGAAUCGCCAACGGCUAGUCCGCUAAAAAUCACCGGACUGUCCGGUGUGCACCGGACUGUCCGGUGCGCCUCCGGAGCAACGGUCUUCUCCGCGCCAACGGCUCUCUGCCGCGCAUUUAAUGCGCGCUCUGCGCGCGCAGAUGGCAGGCUCGCCCAUGCUGGCACACCGGACAGCAAACAGUACCUGUCCGGUGUGCACCGGACACCCAGGCGGGCCCACAAGUCAGAAGCUCCAACGGUCAGAAUCCAACGGCAGUGAUGACGUGGCAGGGGGCACCGGACUGUCCGGUGUGCACCGGACUGUCCGGUGCGACAUCGAACAGGCAGCCUUCCAACGGCCACUUUUGGUGGUUGGGGGUAUAAAUACCCCAACCACCCCACCAUUCAUUGCAUCCAAGUUUUCCACUUCUCAACUACUACAAGAGCUCUAGCAUUCAAUUCUAGACACAUAAAGAGAUCAAAUCCUCUCCAAUUCCACACAAAGCCCUAGUGACUAGUGAGAGUGAUUUGCCGUGUUCAUUUGAGCUCUUGCGCUUGGAUUGCUUCUUUUCUUUCUCACUUGUUCUUGAGAUCACAACUCCAUUGUAAUCAAGGCAAGAGGCACCAAUUGUGUGGUGGCCCUUGCGGGGAAGUUUUGUUCCCGGCUUUGAUUUGAGAAGAGAAGCUCACUCGGUCCGAGGGACCGUUUGAGAGAGGGAAGGGUUGAAAGAGACCCGGCCUUUGUGGCCUCCUCAACGGGGAGUAGGUUUGAGAGAACCGAACCUCGGUAAAACAAAUCCGCGUGUCUCACUUCAUUAUUUGCUUGCGAUUUGUUUUCACGCCCUCUCUCGGACUCGAUUAUAUUUCUAACGCUAACCCGGCUUGUAGUUGUGUUUAUAUUUGUAAAUUUCAGUUUCGCCCUAUUCACCCCCCCCUCUAGGCGACUAUCACUUACCAUUAUCUACCUUCGAUCUACCAAAAGUGAGAAGAGUAGACAAAUAACUAUGAAAUCCCACAUCACCACAGAGCUUGAAGCUAAAUUAGACAUUAACAUAUUCUUGGUCCUCGGAGCCAGAAGAGUCAUAUGUCUUGACCACUAGACUACUAGUGAUGAUAAUUUGUGAUAGAAAUAUGAAGAUCUUAUGGAGACCUGUUGUAUCCUCUCUACUCCUGAUGAUUUCUUCGUAUGAGAGCAGUACUAUCUGUGUUGAAGAUGGAUCCUGGGCGGAUACGAGUCUUGUUUCGUUCUUGCCAAGCAGUUAUCAUCAUUUGCUUCAUCAAAAGCUAGUUAUAUGGUGAUUUUUCCUAGAUAAAAAAUGAACUCUUGGCCUUGUCUGUUCUAUUCAAAGCUUCUCUUUUUGUCGAACAACGAAGAGAUCGAAAUAAUGCUUUAUAGAACAAAUUGGUAUAUAUAUGAGGAGAAAUGUUUGCCCCUGUGGCAGCAUCACAAUUUAUUAACUAUUGUUUAAAAUUCCUCUCAAAAUUAUAAUACCUAAAAUGUUGCAUAAAUCGAUACCCACUUUCAGAACGUAAUGAGUAAUUGGGUAAACAUGGGCAAUAAUAAAAUGAGCUGGACUAUACAUCUCUGCAUAUAAAAAUCUUUGCUUGGCAGCAUUGGCCUGAUGUCGUGCACUUCACUACCAAUAUAAACACACACAUUUUUCCUAUGUGCUUAAAAGCACAAUGCAACCAGUGAAUGACUUUGUGAGCGUUAGACCCUGAUGGUCAUUUUACUUGUUGAUCUGAAGUCAACUAAUGGCUCAAACGAAUGGUAUGCAUGAGCCCUGAAAGGACCCUUAUGGAUAAAAUAGUGUUGCACAUAUCAGUCUAAAUCUUAAAAGAUUGACUAUACAUUUGGUAGUAAUAACAAUAAAUUUGUAGAAUUGUAACAUGAAGCAACUUGUGUUGCGUGUCUCGCUGAUGUUGAGACUAACCCUUCAUGUUGAAGGACAAAUAUGUAGUAUUCAUGCCAUACAUUAAUCUAAGUCCAAGCUCACUGCAUAAAACCUCUCUCUGUAAUGUGCGUAAGAUUUCCCAAAUAAAUCACCACAAUAGCAUACAUUGCCCACAACUGAUGAUUGUGGUUGGGAUUUUAUCUGUAUGCUUUAAAACAUCUCGGCAUUAGGGGGAGGAAUGCUCAUAUAGUGUAAUGCCUCAAUAUUCUAUAAACGCACAAAAGCUAAACUGAACCUGUCGUUCGGUGUGUACUCCUGUGUAUAUGGAGUUGCCAGAAAUCGUUUGAGGAGUAACCAUAUUGGUCUGAAAUGCUUCUACCUGAUGUAGAUGUGGAUACCCGGGAUUAAUAUCAUAUCCACAUUUGACUUAUCGGUAUUUGAUCUAUUCUCGGGGACGCCUGCGAAUAUGAUCCAUUGGCCUUAGUCAAAGCAUAUGUUCUGAUUGCAGAUUCACGUGGUCUGUAAUAACUCUCCUCCGAUGAACUCGCCCUGCUGGUGAUUUGCCUCACGAAGAGGUUCAUCUUCAUGAUGAAGUUCCUAGCAAUGCGCGCAAUAUCAUUGUGUUGGGAAUACGGAACAAUGAAUCUUUCGUUGGGAAAUGACGGAGAUCAUUAUUAAAUGUGGGAGACAAAUAUGUCGACCCUAUCUUACCCCUCUAGAUUGCAAAUGGAUCCAAAACAAAGUCCAGGCAUGAGUGCUUUAAGCUCUCUUAUCGGUCAUGAUAAAUGCAAUCGAGGCUGAACCAAUAAUCGCAAAAUGAAAGUCAUGAGCUUGAAGUUCGGACAUUUAUGGCACUAUUGAAAUAAUGUUGGUGAAUGCGAUGGUUCAAGCGUCUUGUGAGAGACCCAUCCACGUAUGUGUUGAAUAAACACUGUUCCGCUAUGUAAUAUAUCUGGCAAUGGCAUGAAUUAAAAUAUGCAGUUAAUAGGAUUCUGAAGAUCCGUCAUGAAUCUAGGAGGACACAUAUCUUGAAUAUAAAUAUGCAACAUAUAAAUCUCAUACCGAAAUAAACAUUCCUGAUGAAUGAUCACUCUCCUAUGUAGGGAGAUAUCUCGUAGUGAGACUAUCGUUCUAGAUGAACCUAUCCAGAAGAAACAAAGUCUGUGUUGAACACCAAAGUUGAUAAUCCCUAUAAAGGGAUAAAGACCCAUACAGACCAAAAAGGAAUAAGAUGAGGUACCAAAGGACUUGAAGUUCACCAAAUAAGCACAUGUGCAUUGCAUGAGUUUUACUCAUGGUAAUUCCACUAGAUGUGGAAUUACGGUAUCCUCUAAAGCCCUGAUGCAGAAACCUAUAAGUUUAGGUGUUACGGCAAAAUAUCCCCAUUAUGCCAGAAUGACAGACUAUAAUGAUGUAUCUGAUCGAUGAAAAAUCCCUGAUGGAUUACGAUCUUAGAUGGACUUUUGUGACACUAUCAUAGAUGUUGCAAUGGAUGAACGCCUCGAGCGAUGUGUCAUAUUUAGAAUAUGUACUAUUGCAACUAUAUUAUCCCCUAAGUCCUAUUGAAGGACAUGUUAUUUGCUUUGCACAACUAGUAUAAUUGUGGUGUAAGAUAGAAAAUGAUAGCACCCCAACCUCAUCCAUUCUCGUUAUUCCAGAUGAACAAUGAGAUAUAUAUCUUGAAGAAUAUGCUUGAGUUAUGAGGGAUAACGACUUUGACAUAUGUCAUCGUCAGGGGGAGCGAAUGCUUAUAUUGAUCACAAUCGUGUGACAAUAAAUGUCAUAUUCUAUGCCCUGAAGGCGUCAGCUUGAUGAUCAAUAUGUGAACCUUUGUGGAAGUUUCUAUCAAAUAUGUAGAUCUGGUCGAUCUAACACCACUAGUUGAAGUGACUUAUUUAUGUUGAUACGUGCACUUACCUCAUGUAUCCUAGAAGUGAGUUGAGGUGAAGUUCCUGAAAUAAUUUUUGCAAGGAUAUGCAAUCUGUUUGCUAAAUCUAUAUGUUCUAAGUUAGCCUUUGUAGAAGAUUCGGUAGAAUCUAGAUCCCAGAGGAUCGAAAUCUGUCCCGAUGACAGCUGUUGUACUCCUUUUCCCUUGGUGAGUUUUCUUGAAGUUUCUCACAUGAGGUUUUUAACGAGGCAACAAAGUGCAAAUGCAAUUUGUAUCACCAUGCACUCUUUCUCCAUAUUUUUCCCACUGGGUUUUUUGGAGUUUUAACGAGCAUGUGUUGGUCGCGGUAUUCGCCCAAGGGGGAGUGUUGAGAAACCCUAAUGAAGGGUUAUGUGGGCAAAUACCGAAUAUAGCCCUGAGGGCUAUCGCGUCUAUAUAUAUAGAACCUGUACCCCUCAUAUGGAAUAGAGAAGAGAAAGAGGCCAGAGGCCCAACCCUACAUCGUGUCUAUUGUGUUUCCUCUGUCGUGCUAAUGGAAAGUGAGACGGGUCUUCCACAACUUCUCGCGCCUCUACUGCUGACGGAGGGAAGGGAGCGGAUCUGGUGAUCCGUGGUAACGUAGUUCUCAACUGUACAGAUGGUAUCCCGAACUCCUGUAAAUUGGAGCGUGGGAAUCGAAGAAUAUAUAUAUGGCCGCCUCGUAAACGACAUGGAGCCUGCAAGCUUCUUCGUGUUCACGAGACACGGCACGUAGCCGACGCGGCCUUGGUGUCGGUACGGCUGCUGCAUGGCCCGUCCUGGAUCGGUCGGUCAGGACUCAGGACACUGGACACGGGCUCACGUGUGGGAAGGGGCCGCGCGCAACCUCCAAAGCAAGCCCAUAUGUCUGCAUCGGCCCGGCCGUGGAUAUGACAAGCUCCAUCUCAUGCAUGCCACGUCGCCAGGGGCGGGCUACGCUACGCGGACCAGCCGGAUGCUCGGGCAGGGUCGCAGUGAUUCGUACUCCGGCGGGAAAGGACAAAUUAUAUGCCUCUGCAACAUCCCGAGCCGAGUGCUUAACCCUGCCAUUCAAAAAGUAUCCAAAAUAAAAAAACUCUGAUCGAGCUGGCAAGAAGAUUUCCAAAGCCAAGGUCUUGUCUGCGAUACAGACUGUACGGCGUUGCCCUCGUUACGGGCUGGCUGACAAAGGUGGUAGCCGGCCGUCUGUCACGGUCACGGUCACGGUCAUUCAUCGUCACAAGAGCCUCCAUCGACGCCUCUUGCUUGGUUCGAGCCAUCGCAACAAGAACAAGAGAGCUCUACGGACAAUAUCAGCUGACACACAAAUCCCCCAACACCAUCCGAGAAAGGCCCAACUCUGUAUUGCUGUGCAUGUGGUCUUUAGGCCCAUGUUGUAGUUGGGCCAUAAACCGGGGAGCCCUAGUCCCCAAAGUUGGAAGGCCAUACCAUGUUACUAUCGGAUCGAAAGGCUCAAUCCCAAUCCAUACUGAAAAGGCCUUGUGUGACUGGCAAUUGUAGUUGGCCUGAAAGAUUGUCGUAGACCCGGAGAGUAAUUUCCCUGCAGGCGGCGCCGAUAGUCCUCGUCGACACGUACAUCGCUUUCCCACACGUUAAUAUAUUGCCGCAGUAAAGUACACGAACAGUACCUUUUGGAUCACUUCACAUCAUAUACAUAAAUGCAAUCAGUGUAUUGUUGUGCAUUUGUUCUUUAGGCCCAUGUUAUAGUUGGGCCAGAAACCGGGGAGCCCUAGUCCAAGUUUGGAAGGCCCAUACCGUGGUACUAUCGGAUCGAAAGGCUGAAUCCAUACUGAAAAGGCCUUGUGUGACUGGCAAUUGUAGUUGGCCUGAAAGAUUUGUUAAGUAACCUAGUUAGGGUUAUGUGGGCAAAUACCGAAUUUGCCCCUGAGGGGUCUCACAUCUCUAUAUAAGGAACAUGUACACCCCUUCAUAAUACAGAGAUCAGAAAGAGGCCAGAGGCCCAACCCUAUAUCCAGUGUCUCGUGUGUUUCCUCUGUCGUGUUUAUGGGAAGGGAGACGGGUUCUCUAUAUCUUCUUGCGCCUCUACUGCUGACGGGAGGGAAUGGAGCGGAUCUGGUGAUCCGUGGUAACGUAUUUCUCAACACGUUAUCAGCACGCUCUACCUCGACGUUGCUGCGAGAUCAGAUCUGCAUCAACUCUUCGUCACGUCGGCAGGUCUCUGGCCUAGCCGAACUGUCCUACGCGACAGGCUUCAAUUUCCCCUACGCAAUCAAACAAAUGGUAUGAAAUUUGUAUUGGAUCUGCGCUUUACCUUUGUUCACGGUGAACAAAACAUCGACGGUUGUCGCGGGCGCGCGGACCCGGCAUGCACGGGCGCAAGGUGCUGCCCCAGCAGUGCGCACGGCCUCAGCCACACGCAGUGCUAUUCCUAUUGCCAACUAAUUGGAUCACUGCAUGCCCCAUUGUGCCCGGUCAAUGUGCAUGCUGGUGCGUGGACCGAGGCGCUUUUCCCGUAGGCUGAUUUUUUUGGGCGGUUGAUGUGCACACGCCAACCCCCUGCAUGAUCCUAUUUGACUACCUCCUACUUGCAUGCAAGAAGUGGUCCUAUGGCUCCAUUAGCUACGCUGCCCAGACGGUACUAUUGGUUGGAAUAAAUAAAAGCAAAAUAACUUCAUUUUAUGUGAUUUCCCAUAUUUUAUAUAAAUACAUAUCAUAUUUAUUCUAUUUAUUUCCUGUUGAAAAUAACAAAUAGAGUAAAGCAUGUUUUAUGUUACGGCUUCUACCUCAAUUAAUUAUUUUCAGUUGUAAAUAAUUAAUAGAAAAAAUGCAUGCUUAAAUAUUGGAAAAUAUUUUUUACAUCUGAUGUGUUAUGAUUAUGCAUUAAUAUUGGUAUUUUUUUCUGCUUUAUUUCCUGAAGUAAAUAGUAGAAAAUUAUUAACAUGCAUGUGGAGUAUAUAUUGUGUAUAUUUAAAUCGCUCUAAAUAUUUUUGUUAUGUUGAGCUUUUGGGCUCACAUCGAGCGAUUAAAUGGUAUAGAGGGUACACAGAUGUGGCGAUCAGGUUACAUUAUUAAUCGGCUGAAUUAAGACAUUGGCUAAGCAUUGGCUGCGCCCUGGCAACACGUCACAAUAUUUAUGUCGUUCGAACUUGGUUGCGUCAUGUGAUUGCUAUGUCGCACUCUUGCUUAGUCGGAUCGCUCCCGUUGAGUCGGACCGUCAUUGCCGAGUCGCGUAUUUUUCGCAUGCCCUGCAGGCACUGUCCGUCUCCCAUGAUCAUCGAGUCACAAUUGCGCCUGUUGCGCACAUUACGUGGACUUAUCGUGUACCCCGAUUACCGAGCCAUAAUUGUGCUUGUUGCAUUAAUUACGAAGGCUGGCUGUGUUGUCGUAGCCCUGAUGGCCACACACGCGUUGACACCAGACACUAGAGCUUGUACUCGUGUGGAUUGUGGUGGGUUGUUCAAACCCCUGAAGUCACAUUAUACGCAACCUUCAUAAACAAUUUUGUUUGGCUCUAUAUUUUAUUUGACUGUGUUGUGUGGCAUUAUAUAUUUAUAUAUCGCCAAGUGGCCAUAACAACUAUAUCAAGCUCUAUAGUGCUUGAAUAAUCUGGGAAAUUAAAUUGAAAUACAACAGAACAUGGAUAAGUUAAUUCUCUCCUCUCCUCAUGCAUAAAUUUUUACCCGAAGUAACCAGAAGAUAUAUAAUAUAAUGCAUGAAAGCCUUUUUGGCAUAGAAGACAUCACAAAUUGGGAUUCUAUUAGUAAGCAAAAGGCCUUACCAAAUGAUUUAAGACUAUAAAUCUCAGUCAUACAUUGCUCAACCAGAUGUUAGCACAUUGCUCUCUUUGUCGCUAAAUGACAUGAAGCAAACUAUGAGAUAAAAGGACAUGUAAUCGCCAGCAACACGAAGUUGUGAGUAUACCGAGAGGUUAUUCUGAGAAAUUUUUCACUAUGUUGGUGUGAAAACCAUAGUGUGUUCCCGUCGAACCACUUUACUCGUCCUGUCCAGGACCUCUAUGCUUGUGUUGCAUACAUCUCAGAAUUGUCAAUACUUAUAGUCGCUGAAUUGACUAGGUAUAGUCCUUUGAUUGGUAUGAUAUACUUUUCAGCCAAAUGGUAAAGGUCAGUCCUGAAUGGACAUAUACCUGGAGUUUAUGUAGCAGAACUACAUUGGAUUCCACCUUUAAAAUGCUUACCGUCAUCUAUCUCUGAUCUACUAGGAGUAAGAAGAGUAGAAACUAGCUAUGAAAUCCCACAUCACCACAGAGCUUGAAGCUACAUUAGGCAUUAAUUUGUCCUUGGUUCUUGGCGUUGGAAGAGCCACAAUUCUCGACCGCAAUACUGUCAGUGAUGGUAAUUUGUGAUAGAAAUAUGAAGAUCUUGUAGAGACCUAUUGUAUCCUCUCUACUCCUGAUAAUUUCUUCGUAUGAGAGCAGUAAUAUCUGUUGUUGAAGAUGGAUCCUAGACGGACACCAGUCCUAUUUCAUUCUUGCCAAGCAGUUAUCAUCAUUUGCUUCAUCAAAAGCUAGUUAUAUGGUGAUUUUUCCCAGAUAAAAUGAAUUCUUGGCCUUGUCUAUUCUAUUCCAAAGCUUCUCUUUUUGCUGAACAAUGAAGAGAUCGAAAUAAUGCUUUAUAGAACAAAUUGGUAUAUAAUAUGAGGAGAAAUGUUUGCCCUGCUGGCAGCAUCACAAUUUAUUAACUAUUGUUAUAAAUUCUCUCUCAAAAUUAUAAUACCUAAAAAUGUUGCAUAAAUCGAUACCCAAUUUCAGAACGGUAUGAGUAAUUGGGUAAACAAUGGGCAAUAAUAAAACGAGCUGGACUAUACAUCUCUGCAUAUAAAAAUCUCUGCUUGGCAGCAUUGGCCUGAUGUCGUGCACUCUACUACCAAUAUAAACACACAUUUUCCUAUGUGCCUCAAAGCACAAUGCAACCAGUGAAUGUCUUUGUGAGCGUUAGACCUUGAUGGUCAUUUUACUUGUUGAUCUGAAGUCAACUAAUGGCUCCAAAUGACGAAUGGUAUUCAUGAGCCCCUGAAGAAGCCUUAUGGAUAAAAUAGUGUUGUGCAUGUUAGUCUAAAUCUUAAUGAUUGACUGUGCAUUUGGUAAUAAUAACAAUAAGUUUGCAGAAUUGUAACCAUGAAGCAACUUGUUGUUGCGUGUCUCGCUGGAUGUUGAGACUAACCCUUCAUGUGAAGGACAAAUAUGUAGUAUUCAUGCCACUACAUUAAUCUAAGUCCAAAGCUCACUGCAUAAAACCCCUAUCUGUAAUGUGCGUAAGAUUUCCCAAAUAAAUCACCACAAUAGCAUACAUUGGCCACAACUGGAUGAUUGUGGUUGGGGAUUUUAUAUGUAUGUUUUUAGAACAUCUCGGCAUUAGGGGGAGGAAUGCCCAUAUAGUGUAAUGCCUCAAUAUUCUAUUAAACGCACAAAAGUCAAACUGAUUAUGUCGUUCGGUGUGUGCUCAUGUGUAUAUGGAGUUUGCCAGAAAUCGUUGAGGAGUAACCAUAUUGGUCUGAAUGCUUCUACCUGAUGUAGAUGUGGAUAUACCCGGGAUUAAUAUAAUAUCCACAUUUGACUUAUUGACAUUUGAUCUAUUCUCGGGGACGCCUGCGAAUAUGAUCCAUUGGUCUUAGUCAAAGCAUAUGUUCUGAUUGCAGAUUCACGUGGUCUGUAAUAACUCUCCUCCGAUGAACUCGCCCUGCUGGUGAUUUGCCUCACGAAGAGGUUCAUCUUGAUGAUGAAGUUCCUAGCAAUGCGCGCAAUAUCAUUGUGCUGGGAAUAUGGAACAAUGAAUCUUUCGUUUUGGGAAAUAACGGAGAUCAUUAUUAAAUGUGGGAGACAAAUGUGUCGACACCUAUCUUGCCUCUAUAGAUUGCAAAGGGAUCCAAAACAAAGUCAUAGGCAUGAGUGCUUGAAGCUCUCUUAUCGGGUCAAUGAUAAAUGCAAUCGAGGCUGAACCAAUAAUCGCAAAAUGAAAGUCACGAGCUUGAAUUUCGGACAUUUAUGGGCACUAUUGAAAUAAUGUGUGGUGAAUGCGAUGGUUCAAGUGGUCUUGUGAGAGACCCAUCCCACGUAUGUGUUGAAUAAACACUGUUCCGCUAUGUAAUAUAUCUGGCAAAUGGCAUGAAUUAAAAUAUGCAGUUAAUAGGAUUCUGAAGAUCCGUCAUGAGAUCCUAUGAGGACUCAUAUCUUUGAAUUAUAAAUAUGCAACAUAUAAAUCUCAUACUGGAUAAUAUAUUCCUGAGGAAUGAUCACUCUCCUGUGUAGAGAGAAUAUCUCCUAGUUGAGAUUAUAGUUCCUAGAUGGAACAUUUCCAGAAGAAACAAAGUCUGUGUUGAACACAAAAGUUUGAUAAUCCCUAUAAAGGGAUAAAGACCCAUACAGACCCGAAAAGGAAUAAGAUGAGGUACCAAAGGACUUGAAGUUCACCGAAUAAGCACAUGUGCAUUCCACGAUCUUUACUCAUGGUAUUUUCCACUAGAUGUGGAAUUACGGUAUCCUCUAAAGCCACGAUGGCAUAAACCUAUAUGGUUUAAGUGUUACUGGCAAAAUAUCCCCAUUGUGCCAGAAUGACAGACUAUAAUGAUAUAUCUGAUCGAUGAGAAAUCCCUGAUGGAUUACGAUCUUUGAUGGACUUUUGUUACACCAUCAUAGAUGUUGCAAUGGAUGAACGCCGGGAGCGAUGUGUCAUAUUUAAAAUAUGUACUAUUGCAACUAUAUUAUCCCCUAAGUCCUAUUGAAGGACAUGUUAUUUGCUUUGCACAACUAUGUAUAAAUUGUGGUGUAAGAUAGAAAAUGAUAGCACCCCAACCUCAUCCAUUCUCGUUAUUCCAGAUGAACAAUGAGACAUAUAUCUUGAAGAAUAUGCUUGAGUUAUGAGGGAUAACGACUUUGACAUAUGUCAUCAUCAGGGGGAGCGAAUGCUUAUAUUGAUCACAAUCGUGAGACAAUAAAUGUCAUAUUAUAUGCCCUGAAGGCGUGAGCUUGAUGAUCAAUAUGUAAACCUUUAUGGAACUUUCUAUCAAAUAUAUAGAUCCAGUCGAUCGAACACCAUCAGUCAAAGUAGCUUAUUUAUAUUGAUACGUGCACUUACCUCGUACAUCCUAGAAGUGAGUUGAGGUAAAGUUCCUGAAAUAGUCCUUGCAAGGAUAUGCAAUCCGUUUGCUAAAUCUUUAUGUGCAUAUAUUUCCAGAAGAAGAUGUUUUGCCUUAGUGAUACGAUUUUGCAAGGAUCAGGGGGAGCACAUUUCUAAAGUUAGCCCUUGUAGAAGAUUCGAUAGAAUCUAGAUCCCAGAGGAUCGAAAUCUGUCCCGAUGACAGCUGUUGUACUCUUUUUCCCUUGGUGAGUUUUCUUGAAGUUUCUCACACGAGGUUUUUUAACGAGGCAACAAAGUGCAAAUGCAAUUUGUACCACCAUGCAUUCUUUCUCCAUAUUUUUCCCACUGGGUUUUUCGGAGUUUUAAAGAGGCAUGUGUUGGUCGCGGUAUUUGCCCAAGGGGGAGUGUUAAGUAACCCUAGUUAGGGUUAUGUGGGCAAAUACCGACUUUGCCCCUGAGGGGUCUCACAUCUCUAUAUAAGGAACAUGUACACCCCUUCAUAAUACAGAGAUCAGAAAGAGGCCAGAGGCCCAACCCUAUAUCCAGUGUCUCGUGUGUUUCCUCUGUCGUGUUUAUGGGAAGGGAGACGGGUUCUCUAUAUCUUCUUGCGCCUCUACUGCUGACGGGAGGGAAUGGAGCGGAUCUGGUGAUCCGUGGUAACGUAUUUCUCAACAAGAUUGUCGUAGGACACAAAAGAACGGCUUGGCCAUCCAUAGUAAGUUCAUUGCGUCACAGUUCAUACUGCACAUGCUACGACUACGACAUCUGUGUCGAACACAUAGACGCCUAUAUCUCCAGCAAAUUUUGUAGAAACCCGGAGAGUAAAUUCCCUGCAGGCGGCGCCGAUAGUCCUACUCGACACGUACAUCGCUUUUCCACACGUUUAUUGCCAGUGUGAAGUACACGAACAGUACAUUUUGGAUCACUUCACAUCAUAUACAUACAUGCAAUCAGUGCGUGAGUCAGUGCAACAAGAGGAUCACACCACGCCCCUUCCCCCUCAUCUCUUAUAUAUAUACGUAUACCCCGUCUCAGCCACCUCGAUCGAUACACCAGCCAGCCCUUCGCAGUUACCCUGCUUGCUAAUGCUAGCUAGCUCCAAACAGAUCGAUACACCGGCCCACACGCUUGCUAACGAGACCUCUCCAAUAAUGACAAGGCACGGCGGCAGCGAUAAUGCCGCCUCCCCUUCCAUCAUCAUCCACGCAUCCUCCAUAGCCCUCCUCCGAGAGCGGUUCAGAAACCUGCAGAAGGUGAAGGAGAUGAGACAAGGAAGGGAGCUGCAGAGGCGGGCGCGCACCGCUCACACUACCGACCGCGCCGCCGGUCCGUCGCCGUCGCCGUCGGCUCUCAGCCUCGGCCUCCACGCCGCCAACAGCAGCACCACCCAGCAACCCAGCAGGUGGUUCUUGCACCCGGACUUGGUCCGCCCAUCGAGGCCGCUGCGCGGGCCCGCGUACCACCACCAUGGCCUUAUUAUUGCCGCCAGCGCCGUCCAGCCGCCGCCGCCGCCGAGCUCGUGGGGAGGAACGACGACGACGCAGAAUUAUUCGGGAUACCGGAGUGAUGUCGUAGUAGACGUCGAUACCUCGCUUCAUCUGUAACGUAACCUUCUAUGAUCGAGCACGUACGUACGUACGUACGGCCUCAAUCGAUCGCUGUCGUUCUUUCGUUGUUUUUUUUUUUGUAUGGCGAGCUUGUCAGUUCCGGGCAGUACUUUCUGCGGCCGGCCGGCCUUGUAACUUCUUGGGUAUUCUACUAUAUAAUUGAGGCUUCCCUAGAUAUAUUUAUCAUCUGCGUCAUUCAUAUCUGGAAUGUAUUUAGCACUUAAUUAAUCAACAGACGUACACGAAGUAUAGAGACCACGGAUAUAUUGGUAUAUAUACUGAUGAUAAAGAAGUACAGUCAGCAAAAGUGAAAGGUACGAGUACACUACUUUGAAGGCUACAGCUACACUAUACAUGCAUUCCGACAAUAAUAAAUGCUGAUAAGAUGUGGAAUACUAAAGGGCUGUUUGGUUCACUGCCUAACUUGCCACAAUUUGUCUAAUUUUUCUGUCUAAGGUUAGUUCUUCAAUUCGAAUGCCUAACCUUAGGUAAAAUGUGGCGCAGUUAGCCACGAACCAAACAGACCCUAAAAGUUGUUCGGCCAAAACCACGAAAAAAGCGUCGUAGAAGCCUUUGCAUGGUUAAAUCGCAAAUUUUCCGAUCAUGCGCGCACGAUAGCAUUGUGCAGCGAUUAAAAUAAAGUUGUAACUCAAAUUUAAUCGUGAUGUAAUUAGGCAAAGGGGUUUUAGCAUAAAAUAUUCGUAGACGCAUGCUUGACCAGUUCAAAUGCCAAGAGGAAAUAGCAUAAAAAAUGGGUUUACUAGUAGCUACUAGCUAGAACUGGCAUGCCACGUUAAGAACUUCAUCAGAAACUGGAGUAAGAUCACGGACAGUACGUGAGGCACACACCAGUUCGGCGCUGUCUGUCGGCUCGAUCUAUUUAAUAGGGUGUGCGCUCACAUCAGAAAUACUUACUCUACCUGCUGAACAAUAUGGACAAGACCAAAGGACGUUUAAUGAUCAGGAAAGAUCACGGAUAGUGCAUGAACCGCCACUUCUGCUGGCCACAUACAGUAUUUGAUCUUGAUGUUGUGUGCUCACUGCACUGCAGGCCGGCUGCUGCCACAUGCACGGCAACAGAAAUUUCAUCAGCAGUACGUUUAACACGCAUCCCUAAAUUAAACAAAAGGGAAGAAAUUAUUUGAGAGCGUAGAGAGAGAGAGAGUCCUCAAAUCAAGUAGCUUUUGCAGACUUGACUGACCGAAAGAAUUUGUAAGAUGCAAUGGAUAGCUAGGCUUCAGCCUCCAGAACAGCACGCACGCCGCCGGGCGCCCGCGCGAGACCGAAGGAGCCGAGAAUUGUUCCUCCUGAAGGCGGGCGAGCAACUGUUCCUCCUGGCGGCCGCAAUUGAUGAGCCCAGGCUAACUGGCGACUCGGCCAGGGCUAGGCGGUUCCUGUCGGUCAGGUGAGCCUCGUGUCUCUCUGCUUCGCUACCAGUUAACUCGGGCCCAGUAAGAACGAAGAAAACAAAACGGAGUACUUAAGAAUGCAUCAGCAUGACGGAAUAUACAUAUAUACUAAACCAAAUGUAAAACCUCAUCAUUAAGCCUGAAAUUACAAGAAAAGGGGCUAACUACUGUAAUAUACAGAACACAUAGCCUGAAAUCCCGAACAGGUAACUCUUCUUUCACGAUAAGCGAUGUGAUGCGAAAGGGCCUCUAGCGUAAUGGUUAAGGCUUUCGAGUAGCACCUCCAGGUCCUGGGUUCGAUCUCCCUCGGGGGCGAAUUUCUGGCUUGGUUAAAAAAAUCCCCUCGUUGUGCCCCACCCGCUCCCGGGUUACGUCCUGCGCGCCACCCUCCGGCUGGGCCGUUGCAGAGUGGGCGGUGACGGCCCGCUAGUGAUGGGGGGCCAAGGUUCGGGGAUUUUCUCGGCCGGGACCAUGUUUCGGUCUCUUCUUAAUAUAAUACCGGGAGGGCGGUCUUUCCCUCCCCGGCCGAGUUUUUUUUUUUUAUAAGCGAUGUGAUAAGUUAGGACCGGACUAAAAAUUAGUCACUCUAUUUUAUUCUCAUUUAAUCUCUAAACAGAGACUAAACUGUUUUAGAGCAAGUUUAAUAAUAAAAACUAUUGUUGGCUCUAAUUCUUUAUCAUGUCAUCUAUAGCUAACAAUAAAAACACUCAUAUAAUAAAGUUAUCUAUAAGUUUGGCUCUUAGAUUGUCUCUUUCUCUUUCUUUGUUUUGUAUUGAAGCCCGUGUAGCACCUAACUCUUGCAUGAUAACCCACUCUCUAUACUUUUUGAUGUCUCUCUCUUCCACAAACAAAAAUGUCAGGUAAGCAGGCUUAUAGCCUAUUAUUGUACUUGCUCUUAGUCUCUAGUCUCUGAAGGGGUGAUUAAAAUAGACUAAAUCAUAUUAAUUCUACCUUUUGUCCCUCUUUUAUUUUAGUUGCACUAAUGAUAAAAGAAUGUUAAGAGGUAUUUUGAUCAUUUCAUGAUUAUUUAAUGCCUUUUGAAUACUUUUUAGUUCAUAGAACCAAACAGGUUAUGGACUAAACUUUAGUCUUCUAACAAAAGUUUAGUCCAUGCACUAAAGAAUCCAAACGAACCCUUAAUCAGCAGGCAUCCAUCAAACCUUCGAUCUCCGUCACCUAAGUGCUUGCCAACGCGGAACAGACUCCACAACCACAAGGACUUGACAUAGACGCCCAAACAGGCCACCAUCUGCUUCCUAUCCAACCACAUCCCGGCAAACGCGAUGCCCUCCAACUCUGGGAGCGUCUUCUUUAUUUACUACCCUUCUGCAAACCGUGCUAUUUACUACUGCCGUUCUGUGCUGCUUCUGCUCUAUAAAUCCACACUUGUCCUCUUGCUCAUACUGUACAUGACUCUGAACCUCCUUCAGACAUUAUCCACCAUCUUGGGAGCAAAUUUCUUCACAGCAUCGCCGACCGUGAGGUGUAUCUUGUCUUCACCAAUCAUGUCCGUGAACUUCGCCGAGCGGAGCUUCUG